rnacentral:rRNA from 1 species
UAAUACAGAGGGUGCAAACGUUGUUCGGAAUUACUGGGCAUAAAGCGCGCGUAGGCGGCCCUGUCAGUGCGAAGUGAAAUCCCACGGCUCAACCGUGGAACUGCUUUGCAUACUGCAGGGCUCGAGGACGGUAGGGGAGAGCGGAACUCCUGGUGGAGCGGUGAAAUGCGUAGAUAUCAGGAGGAACACCGGUGGCGAAGGCGGCUCUCUGGAACGUUUCUGACGCUGAGGUGCGAAAGCCAGGGUAGCGAACGGGAUUAGAUACCCCGGUAGUCCUGGCCGUAAACGAUGGGCACUAACUAAAGGUCCCUUCCUGGGGAUCUUUGGUGAAGCAAAUGUGAUAAGUGCCCCGCCUGGGGAGUAUGGUCGCAAGGCUA